rnacentral:hammerhead_ribozyme from 1 species
GCACUGCUGACGUGACUCAACUAGGUCGAAACAGCUGUCCAGUGC